GACGAACGCUGGCGGCGUGCUUAACACAUGCAAGUCGAACGGAAAGGCCCUGCUUUUGUGGGGUGCUCGAGUGGCGAACGGGUGAGUAACACGUGAGUAACCUGCCCUUGACUUUGGGAUAACUUCAGGAGGCUGGGGCUAAUACCGGAUAGGAGCUCCUGCUGCAUGGUGGGGGUUGGAAAGUUUCGGCGGUUGGGGAUGGACUCGCGGCUUAUCAGCUUGUUGGUGGGGUAGUGGCUUACCAAGGCUUUGACGGGUAGCCGGCCUGAGAGGGUGACCGGCCACAUUGGGACUGAGAUACGGCCCAGACUCCUACGGGAGGCAGCAGUGGGGAAUAUUGCACAAUGGGCGGAAGCCUGAUGCAGCAACGCCGCGUGCGGGAUGACGGCCUUCGGGUUGUAAACCGCUUUCGCCUGUGACGAAGCGUGAGUGACGGUAAUGGGUAAAGAAGCACCGGCUAACUACGUG
rnacentral:rRNA from 1 species